GGAAGGUUAUCCUUAAGUAUUUGAGAAAUACUAAGGACCGACGAUUCGGUUAUGAAGAAUCUGACUUAAAACUUAUAGAGUAUGACUCUAGUUUUUAGUUGGACAUAAUAAUAGUAAGAAUGUGUCGGAAUAUAUCAUUACCCUCAAUAAUGGAGCAAUCUAUUGAAAAAAUUUCAGACAGAACAAUAUAACUGAUUCAAUUUGUGAGACAGAAUGCAUUGCAGCAUUCGAUACUUGCAAGGAAGCUAUGUGAUUGUACGGUUCACUGACA
rnacentral:lncRNA from 1 species